UGGCCAGACUCCUACGGGAGGCAGCAGUGGGGAAUAUUGCACAAUGGGGGAAACCCUGAUGCAGCGACGCCGCGUGAGCGAUGAAGUAUUUCGGUAUGUAAAGCUCUAUCAGCAGGGAAGAAAAUGACGGUACCUGACUAAGAAGCCCCGGCUAACUACGUGCCAGCAGCCGCGGUAAUACGUAGGGGGCAAGCGUUAUCCGGAUUUACUGGGUGUAAAGGGAGCGUAGACGGCGGCGCAAGUCCGGAGUGAAAGCCCACGGCCCAACCGUGGGACUGCUCUGGAAACUGUGCGGCUGGAGUGCAGGAGAGGUAAGUGGAAUUCCUAGUGUAGCGGUGAAAUGCGUAGAUAUUAGGAGGAACACCAGUGGCGAAGGCGGCUUACUGGACUGUAACUGACGUUGAGGCUCGAAAGCGUGGGGAGCAAACAGGAUUAGAUACCCCGGUAAC
rnacentral:rRNA from 1 species